rnacentral:rRNA from 1 species
GACGAACGCUGGCGGCGUGCUUAACACAUGCAAGUCGAACGGAAAGGCCCUGCUUUUGUGGGGUGCUCGAGUGGCGAACGGGUGAGUAACACGUGAGUAACCUGCCCUUGACUUUGGGAUAACUUCAGGAAACUGGGGCUAAUACCGGAUAGGAGCUCCUGCUGCAUGGUGGGGGUUGGAAAGUUUCGGCGGUUGGGGAUGGACUCGCGGCUUAUCGGCUUGUUGGUGGGGUAGUGGCUUACCAAGGCUUUGACGGGUAGCCGGCCUGGUAGGGUGACCGGCCCCAUUGGGACUGAGAUACGGCCCAGACUCCUACGGGAGGCAGCAGUGGGGAAUAUUGCACAAUGGGCGGAAGCCUGAUGCAGCAACGCCGCGUGCGGGAUGACGGCCUUCGGGUUGUAAACCGCUUUCGCCUGUGACGAAGCGUGAGUGACGGUAAUGGGUAAAGAAGCACCGGCUAACUACGUG